GGGGAAUAUUGGACAAUGGGCCACAAGCCUGAUCCAGCAAUUCUGUGUGCACGAUGACGGUCUUCGGAUUUUAAAGUGCUUUCAGUGGGGAAGAAGAAAGUGACGGUACCCACAGAAGAAGCGACGGCUAAAUAUGUGCCAGCAGCGGCGGUAAUACAUAUGUCGCAAGCGUUAUCCGGAUUUAUUGGGCGUAAAGAGCUCGUAGGCGGGUAGACACGUCGGAUGUGAAAACUGGGGGCUCAACCCCC
rnacentral:rRNA from 1 species